rnacentral:sRNA from 1 species
AAGCGGAUGGUUAACUAGCCCUACACUUUUGCUAUAUGAUGUCAAUUAGUCAACCCGUUUCUAGGCUCACAGUAAAUAUAUUCACUCUAUACGUAAUCAUUCAAUAUUAUUGCAUUGCAAAUAUAUAUUUUGAUCGAGAUUAUCCCUUACUUGGAUCCGCUAAAUCGUGUCCACCACCUUAUUCUCAUUUGUGCUAUUUUGGGCUUGUUUAUCGAAAAUGAAAGUAGGGUUUUGAUCAAUUUCACAAUAAUAACUUAUCAGUUAAAAUUCAAUUAUACUUUACGGACAUCAUCUCACAUGUGUUGAAAUACUAAAGGUGUAAGAAAGUACUCUGGUGCAGGCAUUUUGUAGUUUUUGGAAAAUGCCUUAAUUUAUAAAGUAUAUAUAGAUUAUAUUUGAGGCCAUAAAUGUAAAAUGUGAUAUACAAAAUAAACUUAAUAUUAACAUUUUGGUAUUGAUGGCAAUUGGCUCAAAAAAACAACGAAAACAAAGAUUAAAUUUUAUCAAGGAAAUAAUAACAAUAUUUAAAUACAGGAAAGAAAAAUAUCAUUUACCUUCCUUAGCUUGCUUUUCCUCAAGCUAUUCACAAACAGCUGCCAUGUGAGACUCAGAUUUGGGGGGGGGGGGGUGUCAAGUGAUCCAGACCCCCCCCCCCCCUUGAAAAUUUUAUAUUUCUUCUAUUUGCAUUAUAAAAUUACCAAAAAUAUGUCUCAGACCCCCGCCUCCUUGGUAAACUCAAAUAACAGCUGCCCUCUUUGUUUUAAAAAAUAUGCUUGUACUUGCAUGUUAUUUGUUACUAUUAUAUAAUAUUUAUGCUAUUUGUCAAAUCUGUCAUUUAACUUGCUUUAAAUAAACUGUCUAUCCAA